CUAAGGCCCUGGCCUUGGGGUAGCUUCUUUUAAUGGAACUAUGGCCACUAAUCAAAUCUGUUUAGAUAUUGGUGACUUGGAUUAUGUUCUUUGUUUAUUGGAGAAAUGUUGCUUCCCAGAA